rnacentral:rRNA from 1 species
GAUAAACGUUGGCGGCGCACAUAAGACAUGCAAGUUGAACGGACUUAAUCGAAAUAUUUAUAUUUUGAAGCGGUUAGUGGCGGACUGGUGAGUAACGCGUAAGGAACCUGCCUAUUAGAGGGGAAUAACAGUGAGAAAUCAUUGCUAAUACCGCAUAUGCCAUAGAUAUCACAUGAUAACAGUGGGAAAGGAGCAAUCCGCUAAUAGAUGGCCUUGCGUCUGAUUAGAUAGUUGGUGGGGUAACGGCCUACCAAGUCGACGAUCAGUAGCCGGACUGAGAGGUUGAACGGCCACAUUGGGACUGAGAUACGGCCCAGACUCCUACGGGAGGCAGCAGUCGGGAAUAUUGCGCAAUGGAGGAAACUCUGACGCAGUGACGCCGCGUAUAGGAAGAAGGUUUUCGGAUUGUAAACUAUUGUCGUUAGGGAAGAGAAAGGACAGUACCUAAGGAGGAAGCUCCGGCUAACUACGUG